AUUGAACGCUGGCGGCAGGCCUAACACAUGCAAGUCGAACGAGUGGCGGACGGGUGAGUAAUGUCUGGGAAACUGCCUGAUGGAGGGGGAUAACUACUGGAAACGGUAGCUAAUACCGCAUACCAUCGGAUGUGCCCAGAUGGGAUUAGCUAGUAGGUGGGGUAAAGGCUCACCUAGGCGACGAUCCCUAGCUGGUCUGAGAGGAUGGACAAGCAAACCGGGACUGGAACACGGUCCCGAAUCCCAAGGGAGGCAGCAGUGGGGAAUAUUGCACAAUGGGCGAAAGCCUGAUACAGCCAUGCCGCGUGUAUGAAGAAGGCCUUCGGGUUGUAAAGUACUUUCAGCGGGGAGGCGUUACCCGCAGAAGAAGCACCGGCUAACUCCGUGCCAGCAGCCGCGGUAAUUC
rnacentral:rRNA from 1 species